GGUUAAGCGACUAAGCGUACACGGUGGAUGCCCUGGCAGUCAGAGGCGAUGAAGGACGUGCUAAUCUGCGAAAAGCGUCGGUAAGGUGAUAUGAACCGUUAUAGCCGGCGAUGUCCGAAUGGGGAAACCCAGUGUGAUUCGUCACACUAUCG
rnacentral:rRNA from 1 species